AUUAGAUUAAAAACCAAUGCCCUCUGGGCUCCUUGGUGAUUCAUAAUAACUUUUCGAAUCGCAUGGCAUUGCGCCGGCGAUGGUUCAUUCAAAUUUCUUCCCUAUCAACUUUCGAUGUUUGGGUAUUGGCCAAACAUGGUCGCAACGGGUAACGGAGGGUUAGGGCUCGACCCCGGAGAAGGAGCCUGAGAAACGGCUACUACAUCCAAGGAAGGCAGCAGGCGCGCAAAUUACCCAAUCCCGAUUCGGGGAGGUAGUGACAAUAAAUACUGAUACAGGGCUCUUUUGGGUCUUGUAAUUGGAAUGAGUACAAUUUAAAUCUCUUAACGAGGAACAAUUGGAGGGCAAGUCUGGUGCCAGCAGCCGCGGUAAUUCCAGCUCCAAUAGCGUAUAUUAAAGUUGUUGUGGUUAAAAAGCUCGUAGUUGAACCUUGGGCCUGGCUGGCCGGUCCGCCUCACCGCGUGUACUGGUCCGGCCGGGCCUUUCCCUCUGUGGAACCUCAUGCCCUUCACUGGG
rnacentral:rRNA from 1 species